UCGGACGUGGUGUACGGCACACCCUCGCCUGUCAUGCAGUGUCGUGUCAUUGCAGCGAGCGUUCGGGGUUCGACUCCCCGCGUCUGAA